rnacentral:tRNA from 1 species
GCCUUCGUGGUGUAAUGGUCUCACACUGAGCCGGUAUUUCAGAGGUCCGUGGUUCGAUUCCCGGCGAAGGCG